CGUAGGGUGCAAGCGUUGUUCGGAAUCGUUGGGCGUAAAGCGCGUGUAGGUGGCUAGUUAAGUUGGAUGUGAAAUCCCUGGGCUCAACCGAGGAAGUGCAUUCAAAACUGGCUGGCUAGAAGAUGGUAGAGGAAGGUGGAAUUCCAAGUGUAGAGGUGAAAUUCGUAGAUAUUUGGAGGAAUACCGGCGGCGAAGGCGGCCUUCUGGGCCAUUCUUGACACUGAGACGCGAAAGCGUGGGGAGCAAACAGGAUUAGAUACCCUGGUAGUCCACGCUGUAAACGAUGGGUACUAGAUGUUGCAGGAAUUGACCCCUGCAGUGUCGACGCAAACGCAUUAAGUACCCCGCCUGGGAAGUACGGCCGCAAGGUUA
rnacentral:rRNA from 1 species